UGGGCGCCCAUUUUAAAAGUGUAUUCAUUCCUUCUGCAAAUCCAUACUGUCAUGCCUCUUCCCCAAUAUCGUCAACGCGAAUAGUUCGUUAGUCGAAAAUACUGAAUAAUUAAACAAACUAAAUGGCGUCACUGGUGGUUCUUUUUUCCACUCCGCUAAACUGUCAUCUCAAACAAAAACAAAUGGAUCAUACAACUGCUAUGAAUACAUUCGACUCCUUUGCUUCCAUCAAUCGCAUCCAACAACAUCCGUUUUCCUGCAGCAGUAACCUCCAACCCCUGUUGGCAAUGCCGGGGGACAGCAUUAACAGCAGCAGCAGCAGAAUUUGACCAUGGUAUGGUAUUGCGAAGAACUUUCCCCAUUAGAGGUUCCGUGCUUCGCGCACAUUCAAAAAUCCUCUUCAGACACGAAAACUCAACGACAAGGAGGCAUUUAUCAACUUGCUCAGCUGAAUUACCACCCGGAGGAACCCGAAUGCACUGAUUCCGUUGUAUAGUAGAAUGAAAAUAGGCGAGGUAAGCGAACGUAAUCGCAUGAUAUUUUAAUGUUCGCAUUUUUAUCCGGAUCAUACAACUGCUAUGAAUACAUCCGACUCAAUCAAUCGGCGAAUGAGAAAGAUGAUUUCCCUCAUCACCACAUUGCUUAUUUCCACUUCUGUCACACCAGCCAACAGCAUCAGCUUUCCCGCAGCAGUAUUUUUUAAGUCCAGGGUGCUAUUCCGGGGAACAGCAUCAACAGCAACAGCAGCAGGACCUGGCCAUCGAUAGUAUUUCGAGCAAUUUUCCCCAUCGGAGAUCCCGUGCUUCACGCACAUUGAAGAAUUCUCCUCAGCCACAUAUCUGUGUCAUCAAGGGCAAGGAGGUAUUCAUCAAUGUACUCAGUCGGAUUUGAAUCGUCAAUCCAGACAACCCGGAUGCACCGAUUCCAUUAUAUACCUUAUUUUUAUUAUAAAUGAA